rnacentral:ribozyme from 1 species
CCCCUUCAUGGAUCACUGCCUUGUUGUGGUGGAUGGGCUUGCAUAACUCAAUGAAUCUAUAAGCCAUGCCAGGCAGGUUACCCAAGACAGAUGGGUCAUAGCAGAGAGUUCUGACAAAAUGUGAU